rnacentral:lncRNA from 1 species
AGUGAAUCUUGCAUUCAUUUCUCCUUGGAACUGCACAACGGACACGUCUGAGGAUGGUUUUCCUGCUGCCUUACAGCUGGCUACGGUUCGGGUUUGUUCACAGCGUUAUACGGCGAUGGCAGAUGUUGGAAACUCCGGAGACGACAGCCACGGCUUUUCCCGAUUAGCUUUGGAAGGCAACGUAUAACCUUCCACCAAAAGAAGGUAGACGAGUGGAGUCUCUGCUGAACUGGUUUCCAGUAGUUCUGUGCAUUGCUACAGCGAUAACUGGUUACAAGGAAUUCGGCAUGGCAGCAUGCGCCGCCUCGAACUGUCGCAGAAGUUUUAUGGUACAGUUUUGAGAAGUCGCUUGGCCAAUGUUCGUUUCGCCGGGAGAAUCCGCCAGGCAAGUUCAGCGGCACACACUUAUUCUGUCCCUCACAUCCUAUCCUCAAAGUGACAAAGUAUCAGCAGAGAGGCGGAUGAACUGUGUGGUUCACUGUCGUCACAUACAGCGUGCUCUAGGUUUUGUACCGGAAGCUUCUGUUUUACGAUGUUUGCCACAGCCUCUCACCAGCAAAGUGUCUGAUAACGUGGUCUUCGUUUUGUUUCUAGAUCGUGGUCUUUUUAUUCGGCAAAGCGUGUGUCAACACGAACGUCCAGAGCCGGAGUCGAGAAACAGGAGCCGGCUCUCUCGUACUGUCAACUUUCUGCUCGCGCUGUAACUGCUCAUCACGGCCCUUUUGUGGAGAGGAUGAGAAAAUGCGUCAAAAGCGGCACAAGAUCAAGGCAUGAUUUAAGGGAAGAAAAUGUUGAUUGUGCAGUUGCUGUACAUCGACAUUGUUGGAUCUUCGGAAUGCUUGUUAUAUGCUACAAUCUUUCGAGUGGCGGGCAAUAUUGCCAUAGGCACCUGCCUAUGUGAUGCAGCGCACUCUGUCCGAUGACAGGAUCUGGGAGAUUCUACGAACCACGAUCCUGGAAAAUCUGAACAGUGAUAGACGCUUGAGGUAAUCUGGACCACUUGAGUCAACCGUAAUACCGUCUCCAAAGGAAUCGAGUGGGCCUUCCCCGUAUUCAGGUCGCCUCCCACAAGCCUUCCCCAUCGACGAUUUGGAAGGCAUAAAAUGGCAGUGUGGUACGUUGGGAGCCGCUCCCUAACGCGCCUUAUAGGCCAGAAAGCCUCAUUUGUGUUGCACCACGCAACACUGAAGUCGAAAUGCUAGAACAGGCACUGGGCGUUGCUAUGUUCAGAUAACGAGAUGAGUUUACAGCAUCGUCCUGGCAACAACUCCCAGAUGCCAAUGUGCUGCACGGUCCAUCUUUCGGACUCAGAGCUGCUAUUAUGUUUGAACCGCAUUUUGAGUUCGCUUAAAACUGCCUAAAUAGAAGUGUUUUUUGACACCCUUCGUAGCGGCCUGACUUUAAUCUGUUCCUGUGGUGGACGUAUGUCGCCCCCUCAGGCGAUCUCAAGAGGCUGUGCUAUCCGCCUUGAACUAACACCAGCAGCGGUCUACGUACUUUUCGCUUCCUGCUUGAGCUGUGGUGUACAACGCGCUAGCGCACAUGCAUUAAUUCAUGGCCUUUCAGAAAGGCAUCUUCAAUUGCAUUGAGGGUUUUUCUUUUUUCUGACAAGUUGAUCCCGCCAGCCAGUCCUUGCCUGGGGCAAGGGCCAGUGGUGGUGCUCCCGGCAAGAGCACACGAUGAGCGUACCAGAUCCCACUGCAUUCCCCGUGAAUGGCUGAAUGGCUCCA